CGCUGGCGGCGCGCCUAACACAUGCAAGUCGAACGAGCGAGAGAGAGCUUGCUUUCUCGAGCGAGUGGCGAACGGGUGAGUAACGCGUGAGGAACCUGCCUCAAAGAGGGGGACAACAGUUGGAAACGACUGCUAAUACCGCAUAAGCCCACGGUGCCGCAUGGUACAGAGGGAAAAGGAGCAAUCCGCUUUGAGAUGGCCUCGCGUCCGAUUAGCUAGUUGGUGAGGUAACGGCCCACCAAGGCGACGAUCGGUAGCCGGACUGAGAGGUUGAACGGCCAUAUUGGGACUGAGACACGGCCCAGACUCCUACGGGAGGCAGCAGUGGGGAAUAUUGCACAAUGGGGGAAACCCUGAUGCAGCGACGCCGCGUGGAGGAAGAAGGUCUUCGGAUUGUAAACUCCUGUUGUUGGGGAAGAUAAUGACGGUACCCAACAAGGAAGUGACGGCUAACUACGUGCCAGCAGCCGCGGUAAAACGUAGGUCACAAGCGUUGUCCGGAAUUACUGGGUGUAAAGGGAGCGCAGGCGGGAAGACAAGUUGGAAGUGAAAUCUAUGGGCUCAACCCAUAAACUGCUUUCAAAACUGUUUUUCUUGAGUAGUGCAGAGGUAGGCGGAAUUCCCGGUGUAGCGGUGGAAUGCGUAGAUAUCGGGAGGAACACCAGUGGCGAAGGCGGCCUACUGGGCACCAACUGACGCUGAGGCUCGAAAGUGUGGGUAGCAAACAGGAUUAGAUACCCUGGUAGUCCACACCGUAAACGAUGAUUACUAGGUGUUGGAGGAUUGACCCCUUCAGUGCCGCAGUUAACACAAUAAGUAAUCCACCUGGGGAGUACGACCGCAAGGUUGAAACUCAAAGGGAAUUGACGGGGGCCCGCUCAAGCAGUGGAGUAAUGUGGUUUAAUUAGAUGCAACGCGAAGACUCUUACCAAGUUUUGACAUCCCCUUGACAGGCAUAGAAAUAUGUUUUCUCUUCGGAGCAAGGAGACAGGUGGUGCAUGGUUGUUGUCAGCUCGUGUCGUGAGAUGUUGGGUUAAGUCUCGCAACGAGCGCAACCUUUAUGGUCAGUUAUUACGCAAGAGGACUAUGGCCAGACUGCCGUUGACAAAACGGAGGAAGGUGGGGAUGAUGUCAAAUCAUCAUGCCCUUUAUGACUUGGGCUACACACGUACUACAAUGGCGUUAAACAAAGAGAAGCAAGACCGUGAGGUGGAGCAAAACUCAGAAACAACGUCCCAGUUCGGACUGCAGGCUGCAACUCGCUUGCAAGAAGUCGGAAUUGCUAGUAAUCGUGGAUCAGCUAUGCCUCGGUGAAUACGUUCCC
rnacentral:rRNA from 1 species